UACGGAGGGUGCAAGCGUUAUCCGGAUUCACUGGGUUUAAAGGGUGCGUAGGCGGGCAUGUAAGUCCGUGGUGAAAUCUCCGAGCUUAACUCGGAAACUGCCAUGGAUACUAUGUAUCUUGAAUGUUGUGGAGGUGAGCGGAAUAUGUCAUGUAGCGGUGAAAUGCUUAGAUAUGACAUAGAACACCAAUUGCGAAGGCAGCUCACUACACAAAUAUUGACGCUGAGGCACGAAAGCGUGGGGAUCAAACAGG
rnacentral:rRNA from 1 species